GCACAAAAUGAGCCUUCUCCUUGCUUUGGAGCUCCUGCUAUUCCUCCUUGCCUUGACACAGCUUUCUUGUGCCUCAAAUUCUACGCAUCCAUCACUGGAUCGGCAAGCAGAAGCACUUCUCCAAUGGAAAUCUAGCCUAAGCAAUGGUGACGAUUUGGUCUCAUGGAGAAAGGAGUCCAGCCCCUGUAACUGGGCCGGUAUUACCUGCAGCACUGUGGUGUCUCGUGGCCAUGACCAGGUUGAUGCCGUCCUAGUUGUGUCCAACAUUUCGCUUGGGUGCUGUUACCUUGAAGGCAGGUUGGACAAUAUCCACUUUGAGACUUGCCUCAUCUUAUCUAUCUUAACCUCACCCGGAACAGUCUCUUGGGCCCAAUCCCAUCAAGCAUUGGUGCUCUUGCGGAGCUCACUCACUUGGAUCUAUCCAAUAAUGAUUUGAACGGAUCUAUCCCAACAUCCCUAGAUUUGCCCCAUCUUGUCCAUUUGAACCUUGGUAACAACCUCCUCUCAAGCAAAAUCCCAUCAAGCAUUGGUGCUCUUGCCAAGCUUGAAAACAUGGAUUUAUCUGGCAAUGACCUGAACGGAUCUAUACCAACAUACCUAGACUUGCCCCAUCUUGUCAAUUUGGACCUCAGUCGCAAUUCUCUCUCGGGCCUAAUCCCAGCAAGCAUUAGCGUUCUUUCUAAGCUCGCGGUCUUAGAUCUAUCCUUCAAUUUUCUCGAUGGACCUAUCCCACCAUCCAUAGGUAAUAAUACUAAACUAACCUCUGUGGAUCUCUCUCAUAAUUUUGUGCCCAAAGGGUCCAUUGGAAGCAUAGGAAAUCUAACGAGUUUAAGUUACUUAGAUCUUUCCAACAAUCGAAUCACAAGUUCCAUUGGAAGCGUAGGAAAUCUAACGAGUUUAAGAUACUUAGAUCUUUCCAACAAUCGAGUCACAAGUUCCAUUGGAAGCAUAGGAAAUCUAACAAGUUUAGAGUUCUUGGAUCUUUCGAACAAUCAAAUAAAUGGUUCUAUCCCUUCGACAUUGUCAAAACUGAUUUCUCUUACAACACUAUCACUUAAGUCCAAUCAGCUUAAUGGCCUAUUACCGCCAGAGUUAGGAUCUCUUGUUCUUCUAACACAUCUGGAUCUAAGUAGAAACCAAUUUCUAGGAAGCAUUCCACCUCAGAUAGGACAUUGCCACCUUUUGUCAUCGUUACUUGUAUCAGACAACUUAUUGACAGGAGAAAUACCACAAGAAUUGGGUUAUCUCACCAACCUAUAUGAGCUGGACUUGAGUAGAAACAAUUUAAGUGGUGCCAUCCCAGUGACAUUUAAUAAGCUUUACCGACUGUUCAGGCUGAAUUUAUCAUAUAACGCUUUGGAUGGCAAAGUUCCAUAUACAUCCAUUCCUGCAUCUUUGACUGUCGUUUCACUUGGCCAUAAUAUCAAUUUAUGCGGCGAUUCACAAUAUUCAGACUAUUCGAAGUAUGACUUAACACCAUGUAAGGCACUGGAGGUUGACAGGGAACAACAAACCAGUAAACGUCCGCAUGUCAUACUACUUCUUGCUUUAGCUCCAUUUUCCUUCAUUUGCCUCUCAAUAGCAACCAUCGUGGUUGUUUGUCAGAGAAGAAAAUCUGUAAGAAACAGUAGCAUAAGCAAAUCUGGAGAUAUAUUUUCCAUAUGGAAUUUCGACGGGAAGAUCGCAUUCGAAGACAUAGUCAGCGCAAUAGAAAAUUUCGAUGAGAAAUACUGCAUUGGUGCUGGAGGCUAUGGAUCAGUCUUCAGAGUUGACCUUCAUGGGGGGACUACCUUUGCUGUGAAGCUCCUCCACUCAAUGGAAGAAUAUAACGAUGAGGGAUCAUUCCACACUGAGAUUGAAGUGUUGACAAAAAUCAGGCAUCGAUGCAUCGUCAAAUUGUAUGGCUUUUGUUCCCACUCCAAGUGCAAAUUACUCGUCUAUGAUCUUAUCGAGAGGGGAAGUUUAUCAUCCAUAUUUCAUGACCAAGAGCUAGUGAAGGAAUUGGAUUGGCCCAAGAGAGUCACUCUUGUGAGGGAUGUAGCUCAAGCUCUCUCUUACUUGCACCAUGAUUGCGAAGAUCCAAUCGUACAUCGCGACAUAAAAAGCAGCAACAUUCUUCUAGACCAUGAUUUUAAAGCUUAUGUUUCGGAUUUUGGCAUGGCGAGGAAACUGAAGCAUGGUUACUCAAGCUGGAGCACUAUCUUUGGAGGGACAUGUGGCUACAUAGCCCCAGAAUUGUCAUCUACUAUGAUGUUGACAGAGAAGUGUGACGUUUUCAGUUUCGGUGUGCUUGCGCUGGAAGUUGUGAUUGGAAAGCACCCAGGUGAUCUACUCCUUCCAUUCUUCUGCCGAACAGAGCAGCCAGGGAAAUUCAAGGAUAUCCUGGAUCAACGCAUCACAGAACCCUCAACCAUUGACGAGGAGAAGGUCAUUUUGGUUGCCUUGGUGGCCUUUGUUUGCCUGCACGUCAAUCCCAAAGCCCGGCCAACAAUGCAGCAGGUAUAUCAGGCCCUCGCAAACAGGAGCCUCCCAGCGCUCAUGCUCAGGCCCCUUCAUGAAAUCAGGCUGCAAGAUUUGCAUGAUUAUUGUGGCUCCAUAAAGAAUAUAUGA
rnacentral:rRNA from 1 species